rnacentral:rRNA from 1 species
AUAGAUCCUGAAACCGUAUGCAUACAAGCAGUGAGAGCAGAUUUAUUCUGUGAUUGCGUACCUUUUGUAUAAUGGGUCAGCGACUUACUUUCAGUGGCAAGCUUAACCGAUAGGGGAGGCGUAGGGAAACCGAGUCUUAAUUGGGCGUAUAGUCGCUGGAAGUAGACCCGAAACCGGGCGAUCUAUCCAUGGCCAGGGUGAAGGACAGGUAACACUGUCUGGAGGCCCGAACCCACUUAUGUUGAAAAAUGAGGGGAUGAGCUGUGGAUCGGAGUGAAAGGCUAAUCAAGCCCGGAGAUAGCUGGUUCUCCUCGAAAUCUAUUUAGGUAGAGCCUCAUGUAUAACUCUUGGGGGUAGAGCACUGUUAUGGCUAGGGGGUCAUCCCGACUUACCAACCCAUUGCAAACUCCGAAUACCAAGAAGUUCAAUCAUGGGAGACACACUGCGGGUGCUAACGUCCGUAGUGGAAAGGGAAACAACCCAGACCGCCAACUAAGGUCCCAAAAUCAUAGCUCAGUGGGAAACGAUGUGGAAAGGCAUAGACAGCCAGGAGGUUGGCUUAGAAGCAGCCAUCCUUUAAAGAAAGCGUAAUAGCUCACUGGUCGAGUCGGUCCGCGCGGAAGAUUUAACGGGGCUUAAGCUAUGUACCGAAGUUGCGGACGCAUAGAUUUAUCUAUGCGUGGUAGAGGAGCGUUCUGUAAGCCUGCGAAGGUGAACUGUAAGGUUUGCUGGAGGUAUCAGAAGUGCGAAUGCUGACAUGAGUAACGAUAAUGCGGGUGAAAAACCCGCACGCCGAAAACCCAAGGUUUCCUGCGCCAUGUUAAUCAGCGCAGGGUUAGUCGGAUCCUAAGGCGAGGCCGAAAGGCGUAGUCGAUGGAAAACAGGUUAAUAUUCCUGUACUUAACAAUACUGCGAUGGGGAGACGGAGAAGGCUAUAUCAGCCGGCGGAUGGUUGCCGGUUUAAGCGUGUAGGCAGAGAGCUUAGGUAAAUCCGGGCUCUUGUUAAUGCUGAGGCGUGAUGACGAGUUCCUUUUGGAACGAAGUGAUUGAUGCCAUGCUUCCAGGAAAAUCCUCUAAGCUUCAGGUAUUGUUGAUCCGUACCCCAAACCGACACAGGUGGGUGGGAUGAGAAUUCUAAGGCGCUUGAGAGAACUCGGGUGAAGGAACUAGGCAAAAUAGCACCGUAACUUCGGGAGAAGGUGCGCCCUAGCCGGUGAUGAGACUUGCUCUCUGAGCUGGCGGGGGCCGCAGUGAAUAGGUGGCUGCGACUGUUUACUAAAAACACAGCACUCUGCAAACUCGUAAGAGGACGUAUAGGGUGUGACGCCUGCCCGGUGCCGGAAGGUUAAUUGAUGGGGUUAGCGUAAGCGAAGCUCUUGAUCGAAGCCCCGGUAAACGGCGGCCGUAACAAUAACGGUCCUAAGGUAGCGAAAUUCCUUGUCGGGUAAGUUCCGACCUGCACGAA